GGGCGAUUAGCUCAGCUGGCUAGAGCGCCACCUUUACACGGUGGAUGUCGGGGGUUCGAGUCCCUCAUCGCCCACAA
rnacentral:tRNA from 2 species